rnacentral:rRNA from 1 species
GCACAAGCGGUGGAGCAUGUGGUUUAAUUCGAAGCAACGCGAAGAACCUUACCAGGUCUUGACAUCCCCUGACAACCCAAGAGAUUGGGCGUUCCCCUUCGGGGGGACAGGGUGACAGGUGGUGCAUGGUUGUCGUCAGCUCGUGUCGUGAGAUGUUGGGUUAAGUCCCGCAACGAGCGCAACCCUCGCCUCUAGUUGCCAGCAUUCGGUUGGGCACUCUAGAGGGACUGCCGGCGACAAGUCGGAGGAAGGUGGGGAUGACGUCAAAUCAUCAUGCCCCUUAUGACCUGGGCUACACACGUGCUACAAUGGGCGGUACAAAGGGCUGCGAACCCGCGAGGGGGAGCGAAUCCCAAAAAGCCGCUCUCAGUUCGGAUUGCAGGCUGCAACUCGCCUGCAUGAAGCCGGAAUCGCUAGUAAUCGCGGAUCAGCUACGCCGCGGUGAAUACGUUCUCGGGCCUU